rnacentral:rRNA from 1 species
CGAGACGCUACAACCUCCGCCCCCUCGCUUCGCAAAGCAUUGGCAUCGAUCGUCCCUCUGGUCACUUGGGCCAUUUGGAAACACCGCAAUGCAUGCAUCUUUGAUCAUCGGCAACCCUCGAUUAGCUGCCUAUUCUCCUCCAUCCAAGAUGAUGUGCGUGCCUGGGCAAAUGCCGGCGCCAAAGGGCUACAAGCUGUAAUUGACGCGAUGUAA